UACGUAGGGUGCAAGCGUUAAUCGGAAUUACUGGGUGUAAAGCGUGCGCAGGCGGUUAUGUAAGACAGAUGUGAAAUGCCCGGGCUUAACCUGGGAACUGCAUUUGUGACUGCAUGGCUAGAGUUUGGCAGAGGGGGGUAGAAUUCCACGUGUAGCAGUGAAAUGCGUAGAUAUGUGGAGGAACACCGAUGGCGAAGGCAGCCCCCUGGGUCAAGACUGACGCUCAUGCACGAAAGCGUGGGGAGCAAACAGG
rnacentral:rRNA from 1 species